GCGUUUGUGGUUUAGUGGUAAAAUUGAUCGUUGCCAUUCAAGAUUCGAUUCGAAUCUUGCAUCAUCGAUCAGCCCCGGGUUCGAUUCCCGGCGGACGCA